rnacentral:rRNA from 1 species
AUACGUAGGUGGCGAGCGUUAUCCGGAAUUACUGGGUGUAAAGGGAGCGCAGGCGGGACGACAAGUCAGCUGUGAAAACUAUGGGCUCAACCCAUAGACUGCAGUUGAAACUGUUGUUCUUGAGUGGAGUAGAGGCAAGCGGAAUUCCGAGUGUAGCGGUGAAAUGCGUAGAUAUUCGGAGGAACACCAGUGGCGAAGGCGGCUUGCUGGGCUCUAACUGACGCUGAGGCUCGAAAGUGUGGGGAGC